CCGGGCGGUGCGGGAGACGAGGAGGAGCAGACGGGGAGAGGAAAGGAGAGGAGCCGCCGCCGCCGCCUCGCCCCUCUGGUUCUUUCGGUUGCACUGAGGCCAGAGCUAACCCAGAGCUGACCCAAAGGACAUUAUUGUUUGUGGAAAAGCUCCCAGGAACUUCACUACAGCCUGGACCUGUUCUUUAGACCUGCCUGCUGCAAACCAGCUCGUGCUGAGGUUUGUAGUGUUUUGAUGCACCCUUCAUCAUCGUGCCUCUGACAGUGGAUUUGCAGUGAGGAUCAAGCCCCAAUAUUGAACUUGUG